AAAAAUUAUAUAUAAUUUAAAAAUUAAAAUUUUUAUGUCAUCUUGUAGAUCAUCUAUAGAUUUACGACAUAUCAUAAAAUCAUGCCAAAAUAAAAAUUUUUGGCAUAAUUUCUCCUUAUUUUGCAAAUUUCAAAGUAUUUUUUGGCGUCCAAAAAAAGGAGAGAAAAUGAGACAAGGGAGAGGAGGCAUACCUAAUUUAGGGUUGGAUCCUUUUUCAAUUGUGCUAAAUCAGCAUAUUUUUCGCCAUGAUGAAGGGGGUAUUCGGAUAGGUUGGGAUGGCCCGAGAUAGCUUGGGAAGGCCUGAGAAGUUUUUCGGGCCUUUCCAACCAGUCUUUAAAACAAAAGAAAUAGGGGGCGAGUUCGGAACUGGUCUGACUUUCGCACCGGUUGCGCAUGGAGCCGAGUUUCUCAAGUCUUUCCAACCAGUCUUUAAAACAAAAGAAAGAGGGGG
rnacentral:lncRNA from 1 species